UACGUAGGGUCCGAGCGUUGUCCGGAAUUACUGGGCGUAAAGAGCUCGUAGGUGGUUUGUCGCGUUGUUCGUGAAAACUCACAGCUUAACUGUGGGCGUGCGGGCGAUACGGGCAGACUUGAGUACUGCAGGGGAGACUGGAAUUCCUGGUGUAGCGGUGGAAUGCGCAGAUAUCAGGAGGAACACCGGUGGCGAAGGCGGGUCUCUGGGCAGUAACUGACGCUGAGGAGCGAAAGCAUGGGUAGCGAACAGG
rnacentral:rRNA from 1 species